AGGUCUGAGGAACGGAGCUCCCGGAAGUAAAGGCAUUGCCUCACAUUUGAGUACACCUGGCAACAGUACUUAAGGAAGGAAAGGUUUGCACUGGCCCGCAGUCUGAAGGAGGACAGAGGACACAAGGCAAUGAGAGCAGCUCUAGGUGUAGCCGUGGGAGCCCGAUAUAGCUGGACGCGCUGCAUCUGAAGCAUGACUUCAGGAUUUGUGGUCAGAAGCACGAGGUGGAGAAGUCCUGAUACAAUCUUUGUACUGUACGGUUGCCGUCUGGACUUCAUUGACUAUCCCGGAGCGAUCCAGCACAAGUGACAAGUGAAGACCUUGGCUGUGUUUCAGAAGCACAAUUACAACUCUUGGGGUAAAGAGCCUCAGCGACAAGGCCCAGGAAAGCAGGUGUAUUGAGAAUUAGAGGUAGUCACAGGGGAUGAAACAUAAAAUCAACGUGCCAGAGGUUGACCUGGGCUCUUCCACCCUCACUGUGAUCUUCAGUUUCGCUGCGUGCACUCAAGGCACAAACCUGGGAUUUGAGAUUUCAAGCUGUGUCUGUAAACUUAUUUUCAGAGACUCGGAGCGGGCCCCAGAGGAGAGGUUGGAAGGGCCUUGAGAGCAGAGGUCUGUUGUUUAACAUCAUCUUCGAGUGUACCCUAGCACGGCGGUCUCGGCUGGAGAGAUUUUCUGUGUGCUGAACUUAGAUGGAUAUGUCAAAGUGUACUCAAGCUUUCUUGAACUUUUUCCCCAUCUGAAAUCACUAAAAAUGUGCAGUAUUUCAAAAAGCCCAAGUUUGCCUCCAAAUAUGCUUGUGAAAUGUAUUUCAACACACAUAUCCAACAGUAAGAACAUGCUGGCCAUAUCAAUCCUCACAGCAACUCUUUAUUGCAGCAUAUUGAGGUUUAAUCAGGAAACAGGUUAGAGCUUCUAUGUACAGGUUUUCUUCUAGUUUGAGGUUUUCCUGAAAUAUGUGACACAGACUCGUUAUACAAAUGGCCACUAGUAAAUUAUUUCCAGCAUGUGUUACUCUGUCAACAGUGAUGCUUUCACAGAACCUUUGUCCUCCACAAUUCCCCCCCUCCAUUUAAACCAGGACAUUUCCAUCUCAGUGAGCCACUGCUGUAUUUGGGACCUAAGCGAGAAGCUGGAUAAACAGAGGCGCUAUUAUUAUUGUUACUGUCAAUAUAGUUUCCUUCCCUAGUUAUAACUGAUUAUUUCCUUUUUUCCAUUUCAAAACAUUUUUGUUCAAAUGCUUCUGAUGGCUCUCGUCACAAGCAAUAUUCCUUCGGAAAUAAUGCACCUUUUUAAUUUCUCAACCUAAAAUACACAGCCCGUCAUCUCCAUAGUAGGAUGAUGCUGUUAGAGAGAUCAGCUGUGUCUAGUUGGAGAAUUUUUAGGGGAAUAAGGGAUUACAGGAGCGAGUGCUUCCUCUAUUAGUUCGUGCAAAGUGAAGACAAGAAAGAAAGUCUGUAGGAUGUAAGAGGUGAUGUUACUCCAGCAAGAGUUGGGCAUUUGGAAACACAUGGAGUUAAAAGCAGUUUUCACUUAAUGUGCUUUGUUGUUUCUGCUACAAUAAAAAUAAAUAAUAAAAAUUCUGUUUUGCUUCUUUA
rnacentral:lncRNA from 1 species